AUUGAACGCUGGCGGCAGGCUUAACACAUGCAAGUCGAGCGGAGAUGAGGUGCUUGCACCUUAUCUUAGCGGCGGACGGGUGAGUAAUGCUUAGGAAUCUGCCUAUUAGUGGGGGACAACAUUCCGAAAGGAAUGCUAAUACCGCAUACGUCCUACGGGAGAAAGCAGGGGAUCUUCGGACCUUGCGCUAAUAGAUGAGCCUAAGUCGGAUUAGCUAGUUGGUGGGGUAAAGGCCUACCAAGGCGACGAUCUGUAGCGGGUCUGAGAGGAUGAUCCGCCACACUGGGACUGAGACACGGCCCAGACUCCUAACGGGGGGAGCAGUGGGGAAUAUUGGACAAUGGGGGGAACCCUGAUCCAGCCAUGCCGCGUGAGUGAAGAAGGCCUUAUGGUUGUAAAGCACUUUAAGCGAGGAGGAGGCUACUGAGACUAAUACUCUUGGAUAGUGGACGUUACUCGCAGAAUAAGCACCGGCUAACUCUGUGCCAGCCGCCGCGGUAA
rnacentral:rRNA from 1 species